rnacentral:lncRNA from 1 species
AGAUGUGUAUAAAUAUCAGCUAUGUUGGAACCUUCAUUAAAAGCUCCCACACAAUCUAGUAGAAAAGGGGAAAAUUGCUGCAACAUUGUAACAGGCAUAGAAAGAAAAAAGUAACAAAUUUCUGCAGUUUGAUCUUAGCAUCACUUCGCCUCCAAUCAUUUUUAUCAAAAUACAACAUGAAGCAGUAUUUCAGCAGCCAGUUAAUAAUUUUCACCUUUUGUUGUAUUGGAGUGAUAUUGUCUGGAGGAAUUUGGGAAGGGAAUCAUGAAAAUUCUGACAAGAACUUACUAUCAUUGAUCACCAGAGCUGCAGUAGCAACACGAGACAAUGCACUUAUGGCACCACCAAGUGGAUAUCAAGGUCGAAUGCCAUCAUAUUAUAUACGAACCCAAAGAGAACUCAAAAGAGAACCAAACUGGAUAUGGAUGCCAUCCCAUGGCUAUGUUCCUGUCCCAGAGCCUUCCAAUGUUAGAAGUUCUGAAAGUCGUGGUAGCACUAUUCUGAGAUAUGGUUAAAUAUGAAAUCAUCUUGGAAUAACAUGAACAUUUAAGUAACUGCUAACAUUGGAUAACUCUGUAUUUCUCUUGUUUCUUACAAUGACACAUACAUUUUGGAUUUCACAUUCUCACAUAAAAAUAAAUUUACAAUACCUCUAUAA